rnacentral:rRNA from 1 species
CAGCAGCCGCGGGAAUACGUAGGUGGCAAGCGUUGUCCGGAAUUAUUGGGCGUAAAGCGCGCGCAGGCGGUUUCUUAAGUCUGAUGUGAAAGCCCCCGGCUUAACCGGGGAGGGCCAUUGGAAACUGGGAGACUUAGAGUGCAGAAGAGGAGAGUGGAAUUCCAUGUGUAGCGGUGAAAUGCGUAGAUAUAUGGAGGAACACCAGUGGCGAAGGCGACUCUCUGGUCUGUAACUGACGCUGAGGCGCGAAAGCGUGGGGAGCAAACAGGAUUAGAUACCCCAGUAGUCCCUGUCUCUUAUA